AUUGAACGCUGGCGGCAGGCCUAACACAUGCAAGUCGAGCGGCAGCGGGAAAGUAGCUUGCUACUUUUGCCGGCGAGCGGCGGACGGGUGAGUAAUGCCUGGGGAUCUGCCCAGUCGAGGGGGAUAACUACUGGAAACGGUAGCUAAUACCGCAUACGCCCUACGGGGGAAAGCAGGGGACCUUCGGGCCUUGCGCGAUUGGAUUAACCCAGGUGGGAUUAGCUAGUUGGUGAGGUAAUGGCUCACCAAGGCGACGAUCCCUGGCUGGUCUGAGAGGAUGAUCAGCCACACUGGAACUGAGACACGGUCCAGACUCCUACGGGAGGCAGCAGUGGGGAAUAUUGCACAAUGGGGAAACCCUGAUGCAGCCAUGCCGCGUGUGUGAAGAAGGCCUUCGGGUUGUAAAGCACUUUCAGCGAGGAGGAAAGGUUGGUAGCUAAUAACUGCCAGCUGUGACGUUACUCGCAGAAGAAGCACCGGCUAACUCCGUGCCAGCAGCCGCAGUAACAC
rnacentral:rRNA from 1 species